rnacentral:lncRNA from 1 species
CCCUAAGCCUUCAUAUAACUAAGCUUUAUUUUUGUUUUCAAUGCGAUUUUAAAAAUGAAGAUUCGAUUCCUUCAUUCUUAGGAUUCUUUUAAAGGAUAGAUAAUAUAUUAAAAGUACAAUGACAAUAAUAAGAUGUAAUUCCAGUAUUUACAAGAUUUUCCCAUAACGGAAUAGAGUAUUUGGUUUGUACCAUAUAGUGGUACAGGCUACUCUGAGGCAGGAAGGAAAGAUCAGAGUUGGAUACAUGGUUCCUGUUUUCUCAAAGGCUCUUUGCAGCUUCAGCAUUCAAGACCCAAUCUCGUCGUUCCUUCAGGCUAAAGCAAAACAAAACCCAGGAAGGUAAACCUAAUGCACAUAUACCCGAACACACAAAUGCACACACGUGCACACAUAGUUUCUUAAGGUGAGCAGUGAGUUUCGGAGCCAAAUAUUAAUAAUUAAAAUUUACAUAAUCAAACUGAAUAAUCUUCAAACAAAUAACCACUAUUCAGUAGGUACAGAGAGGAACUUUCCAUUAUCAAAACUGUUCAUGUUGUAUCUGUUAGCUUGAUAUUAGCAAAAUAUCAUAGAAAUACACUUUUGGAAGAAACGGGUCUUUGGGAGCCUGUCUAGUUGGAUUUUUUUCAAAAUCUACAAACAAACCAAGAUUGUUUAAAAAAAAAAUUAGGGUCAUUAAAAACUGGGGAAAGUAGGUAUUUGUGUUGACCACAUAGCCCAGACACUACUUUGACAGUAUCUUUUUGAGAUUCCUACCCAAUCAGGGCUGACUUCUUACUGUCUUGUAGCAACAGGGCAGUAACGCUCUGACUUGCUAGUCAAACCAAGUGAAUGGGCGGGAAGCAGGUGAAGAGGAAGGGAUAGAGCCUUUCUGGUAGUUAUUUUCAAAGCUGGAUGGCUUAACAGUUCUGUGCUAUUGGCUAACUGCAGAGACCAGUUGUUAAAAAAAAAAAAAAGUCCCACUCAAGAAGAACAGUAUCCCAGGUGGUUGCUUGGAACUGUGAAGUCUUAUUUUUCUAUCAAUGCUUUGUUUCUUUGCCAGGUAGGAGGUAAGGGUAGAUGAAUGAUUGAUUUACCUUAGAAAGUCCCAAGUACUUAUGAAACAAAACUUAGUCUUAAAAUAACAGGAUGUCAUAUAUAUAAAAUAUAUAUAUGCAAAACUUUUUAUCAGUGCCCAUGGGUUAUGCUAUAAGUCCACAGGACCUCAAGUGCUCAUUGACCUCAAGUUACACAACUAACAGUCAUGGGGAAGCAAAAGCUAGAGUCCAAACUCUACCUCUCUAGACUUUGAAUUAGGUUGCUUGACAUUACCCAGUUUAUACAUUUUUAGUGGGGAAAAAAAUGUAUAUAAGGAAAAACAAAAGAAUCACCAAAGGUUAGUCAUUUCAUGGGAAUAUUCCAUUUGUCUCCAUUUUUAGCAGCAGUCAUUUUACAUGGCAUAGACCUUGUCCUUGUUAGAUAAGUCUGCCUGACAUUUACACAGUCUGGGAGCUUGAAUGUAUACAGAUCUAGAUACAUAUUUCAACAUAGAUCCUCACAGUUGACUUUACGUCCACAUCCAUUUGCCUAGAGGUGUCUAGACUGUGUACAUGCAAGUGGGUACAGACGUGCUUAAAGCAUAUACAAAUUGUAACCUGUUACAAUAAAUAAACUUCAAAUCACCGUGCGACAUGUAUGUGAUACUUUGACAAUG